UACAGAGGUCGCAAGCGUUGUUCGGAUUCAUUGGGCGUAAAGGGUGCGUAGGCGGCGCGGUAAGUCGGGGGUGAAAUUUCGAGGCUUAACUUCGAAACUGCAUUCGAUACUGCCGUGCUAGAGGACUGGAGAGGAGACUGGAAUUUACGGUGUAGCGGUGAAAUGCGUAGAUAUCGGAAGGAAGACCAGUGGCGAAGGCGGGUCUCUGGACAGUUCCUGACACUGAGACACGAAGGCCAGGGGAGCAAACGGG
rnacentral:rRNA from 1 species